UACGGGGGGGGCAAGCGUUGUUCGGAAUUACUGGGCGUAAAGGGCUCGUAGGCGGCCAACUAAGUCAGACGUGAAAUCCCUCGGCUUAACCGGGGAACUGCGUCUGAUACUGGAUGGCUGGAGUAUGGGAGAGGAAUGCGGAAUUCCAGGUGUAGCGGUGAAAUGCGUAGAUAUCUGGAGGAACACCGGUGGCGAAGGCGGCAUUCUGGACCAUUACUGACGCUGAGGAGCGAAAGCCAGGGGAGCAAACGGG
rnacentral:rRNA from 1 species